rnacentral:lncRNA from 1 species
CUAAAACUUUGGUAACUAAUUUAGAUACAAAUUUAGAAACUAUUUUAUAAUAUUUUAUUAAUAAUAGAAAUCAUAUUAGAUGUCAAUAAUUUUUUAGUCUCUGAAUUGAUAUAUAAUAUAGUCAACUAAUUAUUUUUUAUCUCUAAAUUUAGUUACUAUUUCAUGAUUUUCUUGUGGUGAUAACUACACAAUAAAAAUUAAAAAAAAACUAUGUAAAAAAGAAAAAGAUAUAAAGAAACAAACAAGAUGAAAAAUAUUAUUUUUAUUAUUCACAUCUGAUUAUGUUUAUGAAUAAUUAGUUAAAAACUAAUAUGAUUUAUAAUAUAUAUAAUUUUGUAAAAGUAUUACUGAAAAAUUUGUGUAACUGUUAUCUUUGAAAAGAGAUAUUUAACUAUUUUAAAAUAAAGAAAAAUUAUUCACUAUUCAUUUUAUUAAAUAAAUAAAUUUUAUUCAUCAAAGGAUAAAAUUAUCUAAUUACAAGAUAAUAUCAAAAGAAUUUACCAAAAGUGUAUCUUAUUUUAUAUAAUGGUAUAUUAAAAAAAAGUAUUAUUGAAUUUCUAUAAAAAUAUAGAAAAUAUAUAAUAAAAUAGUUAUAUUUAUAAUUUUUCAUUCUAGUAACUAAUAUUUAAGGUUAGUAAUAUUUGACAUAUCAUAAAAUCAAUAAAAUUAAUAAUGUUUGUAAGAAUAAAAACAGUAAAAUAACAAAUACACACAAAAGGAAAACAGUUAGAUAAUACAAUCUCUAUUAAUUAAUGGAUAGAAAAGAAAACAAAAUAUUUAUACUCAAUAACACAAAAUCCAAUUUCUUUUAGAUACGGUUAUAAAUUUUAUUAUUAAUACUAGCGGGAACACCUACACUCACGUACCUGUAUAUCCGCAUUUUUCAUUUUUACUAUUUAUAUAUUCAUAUAAUUUUAAUAAAUAUUAAAUUAUAUGAGAAGAUAUGUAAAUUAUCUAAAUGCACCAUUGAUAAUAGUUUUAUUAAGAUUUUAUGUUAAUUUUUUUAUAUUGUUUUUGAAUAUUAAAUUUUGAUUUAACUUGGGUGUAAUCUUUAAAAUUAAGGUUUAAAAAAAUGGAUCAGCAAACAAUGUCAAAACAUAAUGCUGGUUGUAUGUUGGAAGUUGUAGAAUCUAUCACCAUAUCAAUUGAAUCCCCAUCUUCAAUGACAAAGAAGUUGAAAAAAAAUAAAAUAAUAAACUAAAUACAAAUUACCAAACUUCCAACUUAUGUAAUAUCUAUUAGAUCAAAACAUAAGUAGACAUAAAAACUUUGCCCGCAAAGCUGGGCUUAGGAUUCAUACAAAAAUAUAAAAAAAAAAUUAAGAAAGCAAUAGAAACAAAAAUGUUCAAAUCCUAUAAUAAUGAGACACGUCUCUUGCUUCGAACGCUUUGGGACUAAGAUGGUGAUUGAAGAGGGACUAAGAUGGGUGAGAAUAGGAGAAGAACAUGGAGCGUGAAGGAAGAAAGUUCAAAAUGUGUCAAAAUUUAUAGCAUUUUUUUUCUUUGGAUGCAAUUGGUGAAAACUACGCUCAACUACUCCUUGUAAGGGAGUGGAUGUAACUGGUGAAAACUACCCAUUCGUAAGAAAGGGGAUGUAAAUGGUGAUGGUGAAAACUAUUGAAGAAAGUGGUAACCGCUCAGUAAUAAUCAAAUUGUUCACGUUAGGCCACUACUCACAUUUCAUAAUAUUUAUUUCUCUCUCAUAAAACAGACACUCCCUCUUAUUAUGCAAUUAAUUUCAAAUAUUUUAUUAAAUUUAUUUCUCUCUCGACACUCUCUCAUUAUGCAAUUAAUUUUUAAAAUAAAUUAUCUCUUUCAAUUCAUAACCACAAUUAAAUAUUAAUAUAAGGAUAAAAUGAGAAAAAAAAUUAAGAGCAGUUAAGAGGAGGAAUAAGAAAUGACACAAUGAUCAUAAUACAAUAAUAAAAUUAAAUAUUAAUAUAAGGAUAAAAUAGAGAAAAAAAUUAAGAGCAGUUAAGAGGGGAAUCCCCUUGUAUAUAGGUAUAGAUUAUAUAUUAAUAUGUAUAGUAUAAGUUACAGAUAUUUUCACGAAUAUUGUUUACCUAACGUAGUUUAGUUAUUUUUAAAAGUCAUUAUUCCCCAGACUUGUGAAUACCAGAAAUCAUGUUUAUUAGUAUCAAAAAAAAAAAAUCUCUAAUUUUUUUCUUGAUAAAAUAUUUUGCAGUUCAUUAGGUGAAUUUGAUCCUCUUAGAGAUUAAUUUCACUCGUACCAUCUCUUUCAAAAGAGUUUUGCUUUUUUUCUUAUUUCACAAAUUGAACACAAUUUUUUGUUUAAUAUAUAGUACAUACAUCAAAUGAUUGAUGAGGAGAAAUAACCCAACCUAAAAGCAGCACAAAGCUUUAAAUGCAGAAAUGUCAAUAAACAUAAAUUUGUUUUAUGAGUAUAUUUUUUUUUUAUAUUCUAAGAAGUAGACAUGUGCUUAUGCAGGCCUAUAUUGAAUUAUUAUAAUUUUUAGUUUUUAAGACAAAUUAAAAAUAGAAUACUAAAAGAAUAUAAAAUAAUAAUAAUAAGAAGGAGGUUCAUUAUAGUUCUGAAAUAGGUUUUUCAGAGAAGGGUUAUAAAAUAGUUAACCUUAUUGCUAAUGUUUUAUUAAGAAAUAAAACAUGAAAUAUAGAUUGCACAAUGUGACAGAAAAGAAAAAGAGUUUAUUUUAUGUAUAUAUUUUCAAACUGAUUUGUUUGGAUGACCUAUAAGAGAAUGGUUGAAUACUAAAAUUAAAAUUAUUUAUUAAUUAUAAUAUAUUUUUAAUUUUUGUAUGUUAUUGUUCAUUUUAUUUAUAUGAUAAAUGGAUUGCUUUCUUCUGUUUUUUUACAAUAAGUGUCUUUAUAAUCUGAGAAUUUUUGGAUGUAUGUGUUUUGUCUUAUUAACUUCUAAACAAAACAAAUAUAAACUUGAUCACAGGGCAUAUAAAUACAUAUUUUCUUAGUUUUAAACAAGGAACAAAAUGAUAUAUUGUUAUAAAUGUUUAAUUAUUAAAAGAAUUUUUCAUCUAUAUUAUUUUUAUUAAUGUUUUGUCUGUCCUAUACAUGAUAACAAUCAAAAAGGUACACGAGAAGAUGAAGAACACAUAACUAUGAUAACACUCAUAAUGAAAUUUAUGAAAUCCACAAUAAAUGAAAAAAAUCAUGUUGAAGAGAAAGGCCUGAGAUGAUACACCAGAGUCAGAAGAACAUCAGACAAUCACCAUUAACUCAUGUCUCCAUCCAACAAAGAACUAAAAUAAAAUAAGGUAUGUUAUCCUAUUGAUUCAAUGAUAUCUUAUAAAAAAUUAACACAAAAAUAACUAAAUUAUACUCUUUCUAUUCAUCUCAAACUAAGUCACAAUGUUAUGAUGAAUGACUAGAAGUAAUGAAGGUUGAAAUGAAAGUUCUUUAGGUUAAUAAUACUUGGGAAAAUGCAGAUCUUUCUCACCACAAAACACCUAUUUGACUGCAAAUGGGUGUACAAAAUUAACAUAAAAAUAGAUUGAAAGAUAUAAAACAAAACUUCUAACAAAGGGCAUUGACUACAUGGAAACAUAUUUACUUGUGGCUAGACUCACUACCAUAUGAACCAAUCUGCUAUAAAAGACUGGCACCUUGAGAAACUUGAUGUACACAACACAUUUUUGCAUGGUGAUUUACCAGAAGAAGUGUACAUGACUUUGCUCCUAGAUAUUACCAUUCCAAAAUCAGAUUUUUUGUCUGGCCAAAUUGUUGUACGACUUAAAACAAGGAAGCAAAACAAUGGCAUGAGAAACUUAUCUCUUUUCUUCAUACUACUAAUUUUAUAUUCAAUCAAAGACAGAUCAUUCUCUCUUUAUCAGAAAAACUUAAACAUCUUUCAUCUCCCUCCUUAUAUAUAUAUAUGAUAUAUUACUUGUUGAAAAUAACAUGAGAGAUAUUGAAAUUGUUAAGAGUUCUUUAAACAAUAUUUUUAAAAUAAAAGAUUUAGACCGUUUAGAGUACUUUUUUUUGCAUGGAAAUUACUAGAAAUAAAGAAAAAAUACAUAUCUGUCAAAAAAAAUGUUCUCGAUGUUUUAGUUGAUCCAAGUAUGUUGAGUGCAAAACAUGCAAUCACACUAAGAAGAAUGACAAUGACACUCUGUUUCAUCAGAAUAUGUCUAUAUAUAUCUAUAUAUGAUGCAACUUCAUAUCGAAUAAUCAUUGAAAGGUUGUUGUAUUUAGUUAAUACCAGACCAUAUAUUAUUUUUGUGGUGCAGUUUCUCUUCUCAGUUAAUUUGUGCAAGCUCCAUUAAAACUCAUCACCAAGAAGUUUAACGAAUUCUAAGAUAUAUCAAAUCUUCAUUCGGGCAAGAUAUGUUCAAUGCUAAGAAUUCUGAUAUUCAAAUUAAAUUUUGAUUGGAGAAUCCAGAUAUCAUGGAAAACAAAAAAAGUAAACCACCAUAUUCGGGUCUUCUUCUGAGUCAGAAUAUCGAGCCUUAGUUUGUUUACUUGCUUGAAGACAUGUGUGUUACGUGGCAAGCUUAUUUUGUGAACAUAUAAAAUAGAAAAACAACUUUCAUGGACUAACUACAUUGAUAUAGAUUGUGUCAUGUGGUUAGAGAGAAGCCUUUUUCAUCUUCUAACAGAUCAACCUGCAGAUCUUGAUCAAGCAGAUCUUCUCAUUAAGCCUCUCACUAAGCCUUUUGAUGGUGCAGGUUCUGUUUUAAGCUUGGUGUUUUUUAUGUACUCACUAAUUCUUGUAUCUCAAAAUCUAUGACUAUUCUAUCAAAUGACUCCACUAUAAAAUAUACACUAAAAUAAAUUACCACAAGAAAAUUGGGUCAAAAAUCAAUUUAUAACUAUUUUUAAUGUUUUUUACCAAAUCGAGUAAAUAGUAAAAACAGAAAAACAUAUGCAACAAAUUCAUUAUGGAACAAUAGUUUCCAAAACAGGUAAAAUAAACCUUCAAUCAUUUUGAGAACAAGUUUUUGCAUUUAAAAUGUUCUUGAUGGCUUUGAAUCACCAACGUCAAGAGAAAGACAAAGAGAAACCAAAAACACCAAUCAUCAACGCUUAUACAUACGAAAAAUGCCAAUACCUUUGUUUGAUGAUAGGGUUUCAGAUCCAAAUGUAUGCUUCUGAAUCCACAUUUCUUCAAUUUGCCACUAAUUUAAGACAGUUGGAUGCUAAUGUAGUAGACUGAUAUAAAAGUUAAUAUAUAUCUCCAUUUUGUUAAUGGAUUGAUUCAAAAUCCAAUUAUUGUAUAUGAUGUAGGCAAAGAAGUUUUAGAUGAGAUGAAGAGCUUGCAUUGAAGUGUUGCACAAAGAACGGGCACAAUGUUUAUUGUUGUUGUAAUGGUACCAUGGUCACCAUAUGAACCUCUAGAACCAAUACACAUUUUGAAGAGAAUCAAAACAAGAAAACCAAAAUUUAAACAAACAACUUUUGAUCACAUAACAUAUACUCCAAAUACACUACAUAAACUGCACAUAUAUAUAGAUAUUGUGCAUUGCACAUAAUAUGAUACUAUAUACCAAGUAUCACAUUAUUUCUUUUUUACGAUCUCCUCAUCAUGGAAGCGUCCCACAUCGUUGAAGGUCUGUCCCGCAUUCUGAUCCGCGGCUUUCAGUGUAUCCGCUAUUGCCCCUGGUCGAGUCUCUUCCACUUUCAUCACCACCUUAUCUGCACGCCCCUCAGAUAUAUCUUUGUACCCUUGUAGCUUUAGAUCCUCCAGUUUCCUCCUUGCAUCUUCAUCUUCACCUCUCACAUUCCCCUGUGUCACAUCAUAUCACAUCCAUAACUUGUCAAUUUUUCUCAAACAUUCACAAUUAGUCACAUAUACACAAAACUGCACCCACAUAAGGUGCCAAUGCAAUGUGUUUUGGCUUCCAGAUUUGCUCCAAAUCAAAGUUUUAGUCCCUAAAUUCACAAAUGCAUAUAAUGUGUUCCAUUCUUAAAGUGAUUUUGAUCCUUGUGAUUGAAAAAAAGAAUACGAAAACUUCAAUAGAACUUGAACAGAUUCUAAGACAUGUUAGGCUCAACAAAUUUAAAAGAGAGAGUGAGACCUUGGUUUUGUCCCUUGCCUGUGCAGUUUUCUGUUUUGCUGCUUCUGUGGUUUCUGCAGCCUUGUCCUUCAUCUCCGCAGUCUUGUUAUUUGCUGCCUCAGUUGCUUCCCAGGUCUUGUUCUUUGCUGCUUCAGUUGCAUCCCAGGUCUUGUCCUUCAUCUCCGCAGCCUUAUUCUUCGCUGCCUCGGUCGUUUCAGCAGUCUUGUUCUUUGUUGCAUCAGCAGUUUCUGCAGCCUUCUUCUU